GUUUGAAAGAGUCUCCUUUAUAAAUGACAACUUUAAGAACAUGUAACACACUAAUAUGGGUUUUAGCAUUUGAUAUGGUCAACACAGAAACCAGAUGAAGGGAACAAACAGAAGCAAAAGGCAGAGUUUCCAACAACAGUUAAUCAUUGAUUACUCAGCUGGACAUAGAAAACAUCGUCACAAGUUUGGUUUUUCCUUCAAAAGUGUCACCAAAAAGCUAACUGAUGUUUUCUCUACACUUGUCUUUUGGCAGAACAAAGAGUUAAAGUCCAGAGAGGGAGGUCUCCUCAUCAAAAGGUAGUAACUCUUCCGGAAGCAAGAGGGGAAUUUUAUUGAAACCCCAACACUCUAAUUCCCAUAGAACUUCAAUGGCUACCAGGGAGCAGCUGGGUACAUUCGAGUUCUCGUUUGAUGAAAUUUGCCAGGCUACUGGAAAUGUUUCUGCUGUACACAAGAUUGGUGAAGGUGGGUUUGGGACAGUGUACAAGGGAAAGCUUAAGAAUGGAUUCCCUGUUGCUAUUAAGCGCGCUAAGAAGGCACUGCUUUGUAUUGAAUUUUGUUAUAUACAUUAGUCUUUAACCUUCUCUGAACAAGAGCAUAGCUUGUAUCUUCAGUCACAGUUUUAAUCAAUGCUCUCUAAAAUUCUGAGACUAACAGGUUAUGCUAGAUUGUGCUCAAAAUCUUUAUAAGAAAUCUUUUGUAGGAUUUGCGAGUGUUGGCAGAAUUCAAGAAUGAAGUCCAGGCAUUGUCGAAGAUUGAACAUCUAAAUCUUGUUAGAUUUUAUGGAUUUCUGGAGCUCAGAGAUGAGAGGAUUAUUAUUACUGAAUAUGUCAGCAAUGGAACACUUCGAGAACACUUGGAUGGUAAAAUGGAACUGAGUUUGAAGUUGCCGAGCGUUUGAGCAUUGCGAUUGAUGUAGCUCAUGCUAUUACCUAUCUACACUCGUACACAGAAAAAUUUCCAUGCUAAAGUAGCAGACUUCGGAUUUGCACGAUUAGCUACUGAUGAUCCCUGUGCUACACAUUUUUCUACAUAAAUAAAAGGGACUGCUGGCUAUUUAGAUCCUGAGUACUUGAGGACGUACCAGCUUACAGAAAAGAGUGAUGUCUACUACUUCGGUGUUUUGCUUGUGUAGAUGAUGACAGGAAGACAUCCCAUUGAAACAAAUCGAACCAUUGAUGAGACAGUGUCAAUAAAAUGGGCGAUGAGAAUAAUAAAACAUGGAGAUUCUGUAAUAGCAAUGGAUCCAAGAUUGCGAGCAAGCCCAUCAUCAAUUAUGGCUGUUGAAAAAGUACUGAAAUUAGCUAGACAAUGCCUUGCACCUUUCAGAUUGGCGAGACCACCAAUGAAAAAAUGUGCAGAGGUACUAUGGGGAAUUCGAACACAGUUCGUAGAGAAAAGUAUCCCAAAAACUUCAACCUCUAGCCACUCUACAAACUUUCUGGGCAGAAACGCAAAAAGGGAUUGGGAGGACUUAUACAUAGUUAACUAUAGCAAGAACUAUAAAUUUGCUUCAACUUGACAGACUUUUACGCGAAGUGCAUGUAUAACGGUGCAUAAGGUAUGAAUUAUCGUCAAAUUAGGCUACUGGUUCGCUGCAGGCAUACUAGAUGACCUAUAUUUUCUUUCUUUUGAGUUUAACAUGUGGUGCACCCAAAAGAUGUGCAUUCACCUCCAUUAAAUAGGAGGCAACACUCGAAGGGUGAAUCAAGGCAAUCUCAUGACUUGAUCAUACUGCACUCAAACAAUUCUCCCAAGACCCAACCGUAAUUUGAGCUGAAAGUUCCUCCCACUUUGCUGUGCAUACUCAGAAAUUACCACGUGAGUGCAAAUAUCCCAAGUCCUUCCUAUGUCUUUUACGAACAUUGGUUGUGAAAGAUUUCUGAGAGAGACACUAAGCCUUGAUUUGUCCUUCAUGGAUCGAUCUUCGCAGUCUUUACUGCAACAGAAAAUAGUUAGAAAAUCUAGUUUUAAAAUGAUUCACUUAAUUGCAAAUACUAGAUUGUCAAAACUCCAGUAACAGAGUGUACAAUGUACAGAAAUAAGGGGAAAUGACAUGGAACCAGGGAUAUCAGAUCAAGAGAACACACGAAGGGAAUAUGUAUUCAAGGAACCCGAUCCACCUGACAUGAGAGAAUUCACAAAUAUUAUCAGUAGAGUUCUCUCUGAAGAACUCCUACCCAUGGACAAAUAUGGUUAAGGAUGACAUCAUGACAGAUACUCUCAUGGAGUGCAGGGAUAUAAGUAUAUCAUCCUUCUCAAAUCAUGAAGUAGUCAGAGGUCAAGAGAAGAAUGACCAUAACCUCAAACUAGUGCCGGCAAAAUGAGCUCAUAUUUUGUUGACUGGGUUGGGGGAAUGAUUUUUAUAUGGGUAAAAUAUGUAUUGAUACCCAUAUUUGACCCAUAAAAAUAUGGAUAAAAUAUGAAUUAGUCAAAUGGGUUAAGCUUCAAACUUUUAUUCACUUAAAAUUCAUGAUUGUUAACUCCUUCAAUGUAGAUUCUAGAUUCACGAAUUGAGAGGAAAAGGAAAACAAACAAUGUAAAGUGAACUGUAAUUUGUAUU